AGCUUUGUGCAGUGGCGGUAUUGUAUCCAAUGAGGUUUAUCCGAGGCGCAAUUAUUGCUAAUUGAAUACUUUUCCCAAUACCCCACUGUGAUGACCUACCAUAUAGUCGGCACUGGCAAUUUUUGACAGUCUCUACAGAGA